ACGAACGCUGGCGGCGUGCUUAACACAUGCAAGUCGAACGGUGAAGCUCCAGCUUGCUGGAGUGGCUCAGUGGCGAACGGGAGAGUAACACGUGAGCAACCUGCCCCUGACUCUGGAAUAAGCGCUGGAAACGGCGUCUAAUACUGGAUACGAGAAGGGUCCGCAUGGGCACUUUCUGGAAAGUUUUUCGGUUGGGGAUGGGCUCGCGGCCUAUCAGCUUGUUGGUGAGGUAAUGGCUCACCAAGGCGACGACGGGUAGCCGGCCUGAGAGGGCGACCGGCCACACUGGGACUGAGACACGGCCCAGACUCCUACGGGAGGCAGCAGUGGGGAAUAUUGCACAAUGGGCGAAAGCCUGAUGCAGCGACGCCGCGUGAGGGAUGACGGCCUUCGGGUUGUAAACCUCUUUCAGCAGGGAAGAAGCGAAAGUGACGGUACCUGCAGAAGAAGCACCGGCUAACUACGUG
rnacentral:rRNA from 1 species